CUGUCACACACAGACACACACUCCUCCUGGCUGUUUCCUCUGCCCUGCGCUGGAAAAACUCUGGAAACUGUCCACAGGCGAAAAAAUGAAAUUGUAAUUCUGGAAAUCAAUACCAGCUCAGUCUCUGGGGCUGCUCGCCCGGAGCAAUGGGAAUCCUGGAAUAUAAACCUGAAACAGCAAUUUAAAGCAGCUGCAGCCCAUUGAAGCCAGCAGGGUGCAGCUGAUUGACACAUAGAAACAUACUGUCUGCAGGAAAAAGAAGCCCUGAACAUGGAGAAUCAGCUCAUGACCCUGCAUUCAAGGUGCCAGUGUACAUUGUUGACAAAUUUCUAACAUGUCAGGAAUUGAUCAAACCAGUAGGGAGCAUCUAAGUGGGCUGUGAUCAUAUCCCUGAUGCCUCCUGUAUGGCACAUGACAUGCUGAGAUCUAGAGGAAGUGUGUUUCAUUCUUUUUAUGGAGAGCAGAGUCAAACUAAUAAUAUGUGAACACUCACCUGGCCAAUAAAA